UACGAAGGGUGCAAGCGUUACUCGGAAUUGCUGGGCGUAAAGCGUGCGUAGGUGGUUCGUUAAGUCUGAUGUGAAAGCCCUGGGCUCAACCUGGGAAUGGCAUUGGAAACUGGCGACCUAGAGUGCGGUAGAGGGUAGUGGAAUUCCCGGUGUAGCAGUGAAAUGCGUAGAGAUCGGGAGGAACAUCUGUGGCGAAGGCGACUGCCUGGACCAGCACUGACACUGAGGCACGAAAGCGUGGGGAGCAAACAGG
rnacentral:rRNA from 1 species